GCUGGGUGUGGUGCACACCUGUAAUCCAGGUGCUUGGGAGGCUGAGACAGGAAGUCUGCAAGUUGGACGCCAGUUUGGACAGCUUAGUGAGACCCUGUCUCAA
rnacentral:sRNA from 1 species